rnacentral:rRNA from 1 species
UUGGACCUGAUACCAGUCCCAUUUAAUUGGCCC